rnacentral:lncRNA from 1 species
CGGACUUCUUCAAGACUCCGACUCGACCCACGAAACUUGCCAACACAUAGGACCUAACAAUCUCCCCCUUUGGCAAUUUCGUAACAAAACACACACAAACUCAACAAUUACAUUGUAAAAAGAAAACGAAGUUCAAUUGUCAUCACCUAAACAUUGAACUCCUCGCGUGUAGUUCAAAUACAAAUUGAGAAUCAAAAUUACAUUUAAAACUCCUAAAACAGACUCUAUGACUUAGACGCAACUAGGAGUCUUGAAGUCUUGAAUUCCUGCAAAACAAUUCAUUCAAAAAUGAUUAGCACUAAAUUCUUAUACCUUCUUCCCCUUUGUUC